AACUUUUGGUUGGACUGGACUUUUGGUUGGACUGGACUUUCAGCCUGAAUCAGAGUUAAAGUGAAUUUUUGAAGUUCCAUGGAGUGAAUUGAGGAAUUUAAUUUUAAUUCUUAUACAAAAUGUCCUGGAAAAGCACAACCCAGAGCUCUUAGGAAAAGGGAGAGAAGAGGAGACACUAGCAAGGAAGAGGAGGUCAAGGGCUGUAGAUGACAGUAAGAUUUUAACAAGGAGAGAAGCUGAUGUAGUAAGGAAGAACAGAUCAAGAGCUGCAGAAAAUGGAAGUCAGACUUUAUGAAGGAGAGAGGCAGAUGCUGGAAAUCAUGGUAAACCAAAGAUAUGCCAGAUAGGUUAGUCAUAAUCACAAUCACUCCAAAAGCAGUGCAGCUUCUUUUCUGAGCCUGUCCAAGCUGGCUUUUCAAUACAACUGUCACAGUGACUAUUCGAUUCAUCCCAGGAUAUCUAUUGGAUCAAUGACCAUUCAGUGUGAGCAUUGCAAUGCCUUCAAAUUCAAAGAUGGAUCUGAAGGAAUGUGCUGUAUUAAAGGAAAAAAUACAGUUUGAUUACCUCCUUUGUUGAUGUACUUGCACACAUAAUUUAUGGACUUGACACUGUUGUGGACCCCAAAUGAGGCUGUGAAUUAUCCAACUGAGUUUCUUAACUCUUUGGAUCCUCCUGGAAUGCCUUCUCACAAAUAGACAUCGAAGAAAGGAAUUCCAAUGAUGCUUUUGAGAAAUCCGGAUCUUCCAAAGCUGUGCAACGGAACAAGAUUGAUUGUCAGGCAAAUGCAUCCACAUAUUUUGGAAGCAACAAUCCUCACUGGACAAGGAAAGGGAGAAAAUGUGUUUAUUCCAAGAAUUCCACUGAUUCCAGCAGAAAUGUCCUUUGAAUUUAAGAGAUUUCAAUUUCCCAUAAGAGCUAGUUUUGCAAUGUCAAUCAACAAGAGUCAAUCACUCAAAAUUAUCGGACUUCACCUCAUGCAGCGGUGCUUUUCCCAUGGUCAGAUCCAUGAUGGUUGUUCCAGAGCUGGAAAUGGAAUCAGUCUCUUCAUUCUCACACCAAAUGGUAAAACCAAGAAUGUUGUUUAUCCUGUUGCUUUACAGUGAUCUCCAAAUGUCACAAUGAUGCAAAAUUCCCCAAAUAUGAUAGCAAUAAAUGCUUUAUUAUUAUUGCUCUCUUUAGUUUUGGGCCACGGGCCCAAUUAGCCCUCUAAAGGAGCUAACUUAAAAACCCACAUAAAGUGUGGCUUUUAAGCUAGUGUUUAAUAUGUUUGAAAAGUGGGAAAUUUUCAGUGCAGUCACACACAAUGUGAGCUAUCAACAAGUAGUUUCAAAUCAAGCCCUCAAAAGAAGGCAAAGUAAAAAAAUUACAGAGAAAAAUUAGCAAUGAAUGAGGACUACUGUAUGAUGGUAGCUGGAGAAGAGACCGUUGAGUUAAAACUUGGGUGUCUUUUUAGUUUUAAAACUUUUUAAAAUCUUUGUGAAAAUUGUUUUAUUAAUUCAAAAAUAAUGAUAAAGUUUUAUAUAAAAACAAAUUAUAAUUUACCACCUACACUUUUUUCUGCAAAAUAGGAGUAGUUUAUCCUGUUCAGGCUAUAUUAUUAGCAUUAUCCUGCGUUUGAGAAUUUAAAAUCACUUCUUAUAAUUUAAGUUUAUACAUCUCUAGGUAUGUGGGUAUCAUUUGCUGAUUAAAAAUAUAUCUAUUAGUUGUGAUCAUACUUUUUUUGUUUUUUUUUAAUGUUUCGUUAUUUAGUCUUUUUAGAGCAAUUUCAUCACCCCACAUCUGUGACAUUCUCAACUGAUACCCUCCUCUUCAUGUAGUUUCUUGUUCAUAUGUAUGUUACAAUAUGCAUGUUUCUCAACAUCCCUAAGACUAUGAUUCUAACAAUAUAGCAACACAUGGCUGCACAAAAACCAAAAAAAAAAAACAAGGAAAAAAAAAACCUUUCAGUCUAAUAACAUAGGAAUCCAUAAAUAAAUAAAUAAAUUAAAAAAUCAAAUUUAAUUUUUAAAAUUUUUAUUGUAUUUUUCAGAAACCCCCCAACACUAAUCAAGAAUGGAUGGGAAACCAGAUCUUAAUGAAAUUGCAACCUUUGACAAGAGUCAUCUGAAGAAAGCAGAGACACAGGAAAAAAAUACCUUGCCUACUAAAGAAAUAAUAGAGCAGGAGAAAAGUAAUUAAGAUUCAAAAUGGAGACCAUGAAAUGGUAACUUAACAGCAUUACGUAGCCUUAUUGGUUACGUUGCUGGUGGACAUGGUUAUCUCCGGGAUCUCAAAUGAGCUGUGGUUAAUAUCUUCACGCUAAUAUAAUGUCUUAAUUGGUGAUAACAUUAAAUUCAUCAUGUAAGCCAUCUGAAAAAAAAAAAACCCCGAAAAUGGCUUAAUUAUUCCUUAAUGUAAUUUUUUUUUUCCUUUUCUUUUUUUUUUGCAGUUUUUUAAAUAAAAAAUAAAGAAUGAAACAUCUUGAAUUUUCUUUCAAUCUGUUUUCUUUUUUCCACUAUAUUUCUUUAUUUUUUUAUUCUUUCAUUAUUAUUUACAUUUUACUUUUUUUUUUUAAUUAAUUUUUUUUUUCAUAAUUACAUAAUAAUUUUGUUAUCACCAUGUUAAAGCAAUAAAACUACAUUCCGGAUGGAUAAUUCUAUCACUGA